GACGAACGCUGGCGGCGUGCUUAACACAUGCAAGUCGAACGGAAAGGCCCUGCUUUUGUGGGGUGCUCGAGUGGCGAACGGGUGAGUAACACGUGAGUAACCUGCCCUUGACUUUGGGAUAACUUCAGGAAACUGGGGCUAAUACCGGAUAGGAGCUCCUGCUGCAUGGUGGGGGUUGGAAAGUUUCGGCGGUUGGGGAUGUACUCGCGGCUUAUCCGCUUGUUGGUGGGGUAGUGGCUUACCAAGGGUUUGACGGGUAGCCCGCCUGAGAGGGUGACCGGCCACCAUAGGCCUGCGGUACGGCCCAGAAUCCUACGGGCGGCAGCAGUGGGGAGUAUUGCACAGUGGGCGGAAGCCUGAUGCAGCAACGCCGCGUGCGGGAUAACGGCCUUCGGGUUGUAAACCGCUUUCGCCUGUGACGAGGCGGGAGUGACGGUAAUGGGUAAAGAAGCACCGGCUAACUACGUG
rnacentral:rRNA from 1 species